GCAGCGCAUCUAAAGACUCACCCACCUCAUAGUCACUCACCCUGUCCUCGCCACUACACUCGAAGUUGACGUCUAUGCCACUCCACCAUCUCUUUUGCUAUACGUUGACAUCUGCUCCAGCGUCGAGGAGGAUCUUCACAGUGUUGUCGUGACCACCUUCGGCUGCCCUGAGAAGGGCUGUCCUGCCUGUCAACAGACACCACAAUUGUUAUUAUGCAUAAACCAUCACGAUUCCAGAGGUUUCUGUAAAUUGUUGAAAUAAACCAUCCUUGAUUAACAA